rnacentral:rRNA from 1 species
GACGAACGCUGGCGGCGUGCUUAACACAUGCCAGUCGAACGGAAAGGCCCUGCUUUUUUGGGGUGCUCGCGUGGCGAACGGGGGGGUAAACAGUGAGUAAACUGCCCUUGCACUUGGGGUUAACUCAGGAAACGGGGGCUAAUUACGGGUAGGAGUGCCUGCUGCGCGGGGGGGGGCGGGGAGUUUCGGCGGUUUGGGAUGGUUUUGCGGGUGAUGGGCUCGUUGGUGGGGAGGUGGCUUACGGAGGCUUUGACGGGUAGCCGGCCUGAGAGGGUGUGCGGCCACGUUGGGACUGAUGUACGGCCCAGACUCCUGCGGGAGGCAGCAGUGGGGAGUAUUGCGCAGUGGGCGGAAGCCGGAUGCAGCAACGCCGCGUGCGGUAUGACGGCCUUCGGGUUGUAAACCGCUUUCGCCUGUGACGAAGCGUGUGUGACGGUAAUGGGUAAAGAAGCACCGGCUAACUACGUG